rnacentral:rRNA from 1 species
UGGGGAAUAUUGCACAAUGGGCGCAACCCUGAUGCAGCCAUGCCGCGUGUAGGAAGAAGCCCUUCGGGUUGUAAAGUACUUUCAGCGGGGAGGAAGGGAGUAAAGUUAAUACCUUUGCUCAUUGACGUUACCCGCAGAAGAAGCACCGGCUAACUCCGUG